UACGUAGGGGCCAAGCGUUGUCCGGAAUCAUUGGGCGUAAAGCGCGCGUAGGCGGCCCGGUAAGUCCGCUGUGAAAGUCCAGGGCUCAACCCUGGAAAGCCGGUGGAUACUGCCGGGCUAGAGUCCGGGAGAGGCGAGUGGAAUUCCUGGUGUAGCGGUGGAAUGCGCAGAUAUCGAGAGGAACACCUGCGGCGAAGGCGGGUUGCUGGGCCGACACUGACGCUGAUGCGCGAAAGCCAGGGGAGCGAACGGG
rnacentral:rRNA from 1 species